rnacentral:tRNA from 1 species
CGGGAAGUAGUUUAGCGGUAAAACGCAAGCACAGGGUGCUUGAGUCCUAGGUUCGAAUCCUAGACUCCCGG